rnacentral:RNase_P_RNA from 1 species
GGGGCGGGCCGGAUGACCGCCGGGCAUCGCCGGAUGCCGGGAGGAAAGUCCGGGCUCCACAGGGCAGGGCGCUGGGUAACGCCCAGCGGGGGCAACCCCGGGCAAGCGCAACAGAGAGCAGACCGCCGUCGGCCUUUGGCGGCCGGCGGUACGGGUGAAAGGGUGAGGUAAGAGCUCACCGGCCGGGCGGGCGACCGUCCGGGCCAGGCAAGCCCCGCCAGGAGCAAAACCAAAUAGGGCGGCAACAGGGCGGCCCGUCUUGCCGCCGGGUAGGUUGCUGGAGCCGGGGGGUAACCCCCGGCCUAGAUGAAUGGUCAUCGCUUUCGCCCCCGGGGCGGAGGAACAGAACCCGGCUUACAGGCCCCCCCGGGCC